GCCUAUACCCUUCUCCCUGUCUGUCUCAGACAACAAAACCUUGGGGUUUGGAUCCUGGUUGCUUCAGUCCCCCUGGGGGGACCAGACAAGUUCUGGAACUUCAAGGGACAUGAGUUUUCUAUUUGCGAUGGGAUAUCCCACCCACAUUGAUCCCAGCAUUCUGGAAUAGAGGCAGGCUCUGGAGCUUGUGACGGUGAUGGUUGGCAGCCCCCGGACAGAUGGGCUUGUUUCUCUCCUCACCACUUCCAAAGAUGCAGACGAGCCCCAGCGACUGCAGUUCCCACUGCCCUCAGCCCAGUGGUCCUUGGAGCCUGGAAUCCCACAGUGGGCCAAUUAUGUCAAGGGAGUGAUUCAGUAUUACCCAGCUUCCCCUCUCUGUGGCUUCAG
rnacentral:lncRNA from 1 species